AUCAACUUUCGAUGGUAGGAUAGAGGCCUACCAUGGUGGUAACGGGUAACGGGGUGUUAGGGCACGACACCGGAGAGGGAGCCUGAGAAACGGCUACCACAUCCAAGGAUGGCAGCAGGCGCGCAAAUUACCCAAUCCCGACACGGGGAGGUAGUGACAAUAAAUAACAAUACGGGGUUCUAUAGGACUUCGUAAUUGGAAUGAGUACAAUUUAAAUCUCUUAACGAUCAACAAUUGGAGGGCAAGUCUGGUGCCAGCAGCCGCGGUAAUUCCAGCUCCAAUAGCGUAUAUUAAAGUUGUUGCAGUUAAAAAGCUCGUAGUUGAAUUUCGGGGUUAGUAGGUUGGUCAUGCCUCUGGUAUGUACUGACCUUACUGAUCCCUCCCUCUUGACGAACUGUAAUGUCAUUAAUUUGGUGUUGCAGGAAAUCAGGACUGUUACUUUGAAAAAAUUAGAGUGUUUAAAGCAGGCUAAGGCUUGAAUACAUUAGCAUGGAAUAAUGAAAUAGGACGUUUGAUCCUAUUUUGUUGGUUUCUAGGAUCGACGUAAUGAUUAAUAGGGAUAGUUGGGGGCAUUAGUAUUCAAUUGUCAGAGGUGAAAUUCUUGGAUUUAUUGAAGACUAACUACUGCGAAAGCAUUUGCCAAGGAUGUUUUCAUUAAUCAAGAACGAAAGUUAGGGGAUCGAAGACGAUCAGAUACCGUCGUAGUCUUAACCAUAAACUAUGCCGACUAGGGAUCGGAUGAUGUUAAUUAUUUAAUGACUCAUUCGGCGCCUUACGGGAAACCAAAGUGUUUGGGUUC
rnacentral:rRNA from 1 species